CCUACGGGAGGCAGCAGUAGGGAAUCUUCGACAAUGGGCGCAAGCCUGAACGAGCAAUGCCGCGUGAACGAGGAAGGUCUUCGGAUCGUAAAGGUCUGUUGAAGGGGAAAAAGAUCGGAGAGAGGAAAUGCUCUCUGAUUGAUAUUACCCUUCGAGGAAGUCACGGCUAACUACGUGCCAGCAGCCGCGGUAAUACGUAGGUGGCGAGCGUUAUCCGGAAUGCUUGGGCGUAAAGGGUGCGUAGGCGGCCUGCUAAGUCUGGGGUGAAAGGUACCGGCUCAACCGGUACAGGCACUUGAAACUGGCGGGCUAGAGAGCAGGAGAGGGGGGUGGAACUCCAGGUGUAGCGGUAAAAUGCGUAGAUAUAUGGAAGAACACCAGUGGCGAAGGCGGCCGCCUGGCCUGUUACUGACGCUGAGGUACGAAAGCGUGGGGAGCAAAUAGGAUUAGAUACCCUUGUAGUC
rnacentral:rRNA from 1 species